GACGAACGCUGGCGGCGUGCUUAACACAUGCAAGUCGAACGGAAAGGCCCUGCUUUUGUGGGGUGCUCGAGUGGCGAACGGGUGAGUAACACGUGAGUAACCUGCCCUUGACUUUGGGAUAACUUCAGGAAACUGUGGCUAAUACCGGAUAGGAGCUCCUGCUGCAUGGUGUGGGUUGGAAAGUUUCGGCGGUUGGGGAUGGACUCGCGGCUUAUCAGCUUGUUGGUGGGGUAGUGGAUUACCAAGGCUUUGACGGGUAGCCGGCCUGAGAGGGUGACCGGCCACAUUGGGACUGAGAUACGGCCCAGACUCCUACGGGAGGCAGCAGUGGGAAAUAUUGCACAAUGGGCGGAAGCCUGAUGCAGCAACGCCGCGUGCGGGAUGACGGCCUUAGGGUUGUAAACCGCUUUAGCCUGUGACGAAGCGUGAGUGACGGUAAUGGGUAAAGAAGCACCGGCUAACUACGUG
rnacentral:rRNA from 1 species